rnacentral:rRNA from 1 species
UUAGAUACCCGGUAAGUCCUAGCCGUAACGAUGGGCACUAGUGUGGGGGNAAUUGACCCUUUCCGUGCCGCAGCUAACGCAUUAAGUGCCCGCUGGGAAGUACGUUCGCAAGACUAAACUCAAGGGAAUUGACGGGGGCCGCACAAGCGGUGGAGCAUGUGGUUUAAUUCGACGCAACGCGAAGAACCUUACCUGGGUUUGACACCUGCGACGACACCAGAGAUGUUGUUUUCCUUCGGGACGCAGUGACAGGUGCUGCAUGGCUGUCGUCAGCUCGUGUCGUGAGAUGUUGGGUUAAGUCCCGCAACGAGCGCAACCCAUGCCCUUAGUUGCCAGCGAGUAAUGUCGGGAACUCUAGGGGGACUGCCGGUGACAAACCGGAGGAAGGUGUGGAUGACGUCAAGUCCUCAUGGCCUUUAUAUCCAGGGCUACACACGUGCUACAAUGGCCGGUACAAAGGUCGCAAUCCCGCGAGGGGGAGCCAAUCCCAAAAAACCGGUCUCAGUUCGGAUUGCAGGCUGCAAUUCGCCUGCAUGAAGGUGGAAUCGCUAGUAAUCCCGGAUCAGCAUGCCGGGGUGAAUACGUUCCCGGGCCUUGUACACACCGCCCGUCACACCACGAAAGCCAGUUGUACCAGAAGUCGCUGGGCCAACCCGCAAGGGAGGUAGGUGCCGAAGGUAUGGCCGGUGAUUGGGGUGAAGUCGUAACAAGGUA